rnacentral:tRNA from 1 species
UCCCAAAUAGUUCAGUUGGUAGAGAAUCUGCCUGCAAUGCAGGAGACCCCGGUUCGAUUCCUGGGUCAGGAA